rnacentral:misc_RNA from 1 species
CUAAGUGCCUUUGUGUACCAUUGCCUGUGAGUUAUAUAUGACUAAUGCAUAUAGGUUUCUUCCAUGAUGCAGCACUACUGAACAGCAUCAUGGUAUGAUAUUCAAUAUUUUAUGGGAAAUGGUUGUUAGCUCCAACAUAGAUAUGAAAAUCAAUGCGGUCCAUCUAUUGAAAGUCAUAGUGCCGCAUAUUGAUGCAAAAGUUGUUUCUACCCAUGUUUUGCCUGCCCUAGUUACUCUUGGCUCUGAUCCAAACUCAAUUGUGAAGUAUGCCAGCAUAGAUGCGUUUGGAGCUGUGGCAGAACAUUUUAAAAACGACAUGAUAGUUGAUAAAAUUCGUGUUCAAAUGGAUGCUUUUCUUGAAGAUGGAUCCCAUGAAGCUACUGUUGCUGUUGUCCGUGGGUUACUGGUAGCAAUACCUCACACAACAGAGAGACUCAGAGAUUAUAUCCUGAACAUUUUGGAUAAUUAAUUUUAGGAAUAUUUAUUCAAUUAAAGAAUUUUGUUUAUUCUGUUUUGACCAUUGUGCCAACACUCUUAUUGGCUCCUAGUUUUAAAUGAAUAUGUUAAGCCAUUGUUUCCUUAACAUUUUGCACAUCUUCUUUCCAAGAUUUUUCAAUUUACAGCCACACCAGCUUCCACAAACGAUGUCCUGCGUUGCCGUGAGAGAGCUAAUGCAUUCUGUGAAUCAAUCCGUGCCUUGGACGCUACAGAUCUUUCGGCAACUAGUGUGCGGGAAUUCCUCCUCCCUGCUAUAACAAACCUGUUAAAAGAUCCAGAUGCAUUAGAUCCAGCACACAAAGAAGCCCUUGAGAUAAUAAUGAAAGAAAGAUCAGGCGGAACGUUUGAGACCAUUAGCAAGGUGAUGGGUGCUCAUCUUGGGAUAGCAUCGUCAGUCACUAGUUUCUUUGGAGAAAGUGGGCUGUUGGGAAAGAAAGAAGCUCCAGACCAUCAGCCACCAACACCUGAGUCUCCAAAGGCUGCGCAACCUUCACCAACAGAAGACACGAGGUUCAGGCGUAUCAUGAUGGGUGGUUUUACAGACAUGCUUCGGGGUAAAACAUGGGGACAAGAAGAAACACAGCUGAACCAAUAAUGUUUUUAGUCUAUCUCGAGAAAUGGUGCGAUGAAAUUAUCCUUGUCUUCUCCUACAUGUUUGAUUUUAUUCCGGAUGAACGUGGUGAGUUACGACCACAUCAUCAUCAAGAGGGGGAAAAUUUUCCCAUUCCUUUCAUUUUUUUUUCUUUAAUUUUUUAUUGCGUUGGGGGAAUUAAGAUUAAAGAUAAAUUUUUAUUUUAUUGCAGUGCAAACGUUUUAGUUAGUUAUUUGUUAGGACAUUCUAUUUUCCUAGUUUUUGACAAUACUAAGCCGGGUUGAUUGCAUUUCUUUUGAUCCUUCUGAGGCCAUGUCGUC